ensembl:misc_RNA Metazoa_SRP Metazoan signal recognition particle RNA
GCUGGAUGCGGUGGCACUGCCUGUAGUCCCAGCUACUCGGGAGGCUGAGGCUGAAGGAUCACUUGAGCCCAGGAGUUCUGGGCUAUAGUGGGCUAUGCUGAGUGGGUGUCCGCACUAAGUUCAGCAUCAAUAUGGUGACCUCCCAGGAGCAGGGGACCACCAGGUUGCCUAAGGAGGGGUAAACUGGCCCAGGUCGGAGACAGAGCAGGUCAAAACUCCUGUGCUGAUCAGUAGCGGGAUCGCGCCUGUGAAUAGCCACUGCACUCCAGCCUGGGCAACACAGUGAGACUCUGUCUCUA